rnacentral:tRNA from 1 species
GUCUCCAUCGUCUAGAGGUCUAGGACACCGCCCUCUCACGGCGGCAACACGGGUUCGAAUCCCGUUGGAGAUGCCA